rnacentral:rRNA from 1 species
UUGAAUAUAAAGAAAAGACGAACAGCUCAGUAACUCUUAUUUUAUUUGAUGUAUUAGGAUUAUAACUAUGUUAAAUUAUAGAUAACAAUAAUACAAUAAGAAUAAGAUCUAUCAGUUAGUUGUUAAGGUAAUGGCUUAACAAGACUAUGACGGAUAACGGUAUUACUUUGUAAUAUUCCGGAGAAGGAGCCUGAGAGAUUGCUACUAAGUCUAAGGAUUGCAGCAGGGGCGAAACUUGACCUAUGAUAUGAUAUUGAGGCAGUUAUGAGUAGUAUUUUUAAUUAUUGUAGUAUUGUAAGUAUAUACUACAAGAUAAAUCGGAGGGCAAAUCGAGUGCC